GCCCGCCGGCCCCGCCCCCGCGCCGCCAUUGGCACGCGGGACGAGGCUCCGCCCAGCAGGGCCCCCUUCCCGCGCCGAAGGGCGCCGGGCGGUGGUGUCUCCACCAGCGGGUCGUGGCGGGGGCCAAAACCCUGUCCUCACGUCCACACGUCUGGCCGCCCUUCCCCCGGGCGCUCGCUCGUGGGUUCGACCGUUGCACGUUCCUUGAGCUUCUGUGGCGUUCGGCCUGGAGGAGCUGGGCUGGCCUCCCCUGCACGCAGCCCCAGUCUGUCUGUCAAAUGAAGAUGAUGUGGACUCAGAGCCUGGCGUGGUCACCCACAGCUGUGUGAUCUUGGACAAGUUACUCACCCUCUCUGUUCAUCAGUGUCCUCGUCCGUGAAAGGGAAGUACGGUGAAUGUAAAGUACUCAGGACAGCAAAGUGCGACCCAGGAUGUGCUUGUGAGGGGAUGGGCAGGUAGAUCCAGUCCCUGCCUGGCCACUCCUUUGGGGAAGCUUGUGUCUUUUAUGACAAAGACAGUGCUCUGUCCUGGCCUCCUUGAGCCUGGAAAUUAAGGCAACUGCCAGGGAGGGCCCAGCGUGGACUUUGGAGUCUCCUAGCCACAUUUCCUAAUAGGCAUUAUCAUGCUGUAUUAAAGUGGAGGUGGGAACCCCAAGAACAGAGGAGGCUGGAAAUGCUGUAAGUGCAUGGCAGACUCGCCCCUCUCUGCACCCUAGGGCACAAGGGUCACUGCAAAUGUGGUCAGGUGAAGAGGAAGUCAUCCUAGAUUAUGGAGGGGCCCCAAUCCAAUGACAGUGUAUCUUCACAAGAAGAGAGAAUUUGGAUACGUCAACUAGGAGAUAGACACAGGGGAAAACAACAUAAUGAAGACGGAUGCAGAGAUGGAGGUGACGUGUCCACAGCCAAGGAACCUGAGGGUCACCAGAGCCACCAGCAGCCGGGAGAGAGGGGUGGAUCAGAGUCUCCCUCAGAGCCUCAGAAGGGAUCGACCCUGCGGACCGCUUGAGCUGAGACUUGGAUUUCCAGAACUGAGAGAUGGUAACUGCCUGUUGUUCAGGCUGCCGGGUUUGUGGUACUGUGUUACAGCAGCUGCAAGAAACCCUUACAUCAGGCCGUUCAGAGCUUCUGCUGGGCAGGCGUUCUCUGCCUCUGAUUGGCACGCAUCGGCAAGGGAGGUCAUCACUGAUUAAUGCUUGCAACACAGUGUGAUCUGUGAAACCUUUUCCUAAGGUGGUGGGGGGCGGUCCCUGGAGAAAGAAUACUAAAGGGGCGCAGGGUGGAGAAAAGGAGGCACCCGUAACAUACGGUCCUGGAAAAGCACUGCCAGAGCCCCAAACUUACUGCUCCUGGGGGCCUGGGUAUUGGAGAGAAAAUCCCCCUGGUACUGAAGGGCAUCCAGGAGACAACACUUUCUUGUGGCCUGGAGGGGAGGGUGCGCAGGAAGGAUCCAGGGGCUCUGGAGUCUGACACUUGCUCCUGUCCCUGAUACGUAAACUGGGGUUCCUGCUGCCCAGUCUCUAGAAAGGCAAGGGGUAAAGGGUGAACACUGGGUAGAGGGGGAGGGGCACAAGGAAGCCCUGUCCCGACCCCACCCUCUGGGUGACUGGUGGCACUGGCUGGACCUAUGGUGGUUUUUCCUGUCCUGAAUGACUGUGGCCAGACUCUGGCCCCACUCUACAGAUGCAGAAACUGAGGCCAAGCUCUCACCAUUGCUCUGGAGGCAUGGGAAUCACCACAGAACCAGGGAACCAAGAUGCAUUCUUGUACUGUUGGCUACAGACCGAAUGGCCUGAAAUAGGGCACUAGUGGUCCAAGAAAAGAGGACUCAGUUGGCUGUGCUGGCCCCUGACCAGGGCGCCCAGGAACACACUCCAGUGACUCAGCGGUGACUCAGGACGAGGCAGCAGAUGCGGAAACCGCUAGUCCUCUGCCAGCUAGGGAAGCAGCCCCGGGUGGUGAUAAGCAGCUGGGGCAUCCGAGCCCCUCUACCCGGGAGGACCCAGAGCCGGGAACCCAGAAGGCCUCCGCACAGCCGUUCUGUGAAGGCAGGAAGGACAGCCUGGCGGUCCCCAGCUGGGCAGCCCUGAGCCACGAGCCCCCGGAGCAACCCGCCCCACCAGGUGCCCACAUCACAGAGGGGGUGGGAGGGGGUGCUUCCAGGCUCAGAAAUGAGGACACUUGUUCCUAAUCCACACAGUCAGACGGCAGACAUAUGGGCCUCGGUUUCCUGUAUGUGAAAUGGGGCUAAAACCAGCCCCACGACCUGGGGAGCUUGCGUGGUGGAGGCCACGCGUGGAAAGCGCAGCGUGAGUCCGUCUUCCGUGCGCGCUCCGUCCACGCCCCGCCCCCGCUCCACGCUCCGCCCCUACGCCAGCGCGCUCCGUUCACGCUCCGCCCCCGCUCCACGCUCCGCCCCCCCGCGCCGGGCGCGCUCCGUUCACGCUGUGUGCGUGGAAGCCAUUGUCGGGCUUACCCACGGCUCCUCCGCCUCCAAGUCCGGAUUUUUUUCUAUGCUGUGUUUCUGAGUCAGGUUUUGCACGCGGUCUCCGAUGCUCUGUGAGCCUCAGCCUCUCACGGUGAGAAGUCUAUGAAAUGACAGGACGCAGCCGCACCGACAGCCAGGAGGCGGGAACCGCCCGAGGGUCCUUCAGUGGCUGAACGACAGGUGGCACGGCCACGCCAGGGGCGUUAGCCAGCCGCGGAAAGGAACGCAGCACCGGCUCACGCUGCCACGUGGAUGGACGUCGAAAACGUGACACGGAGUGACGGAAGCCAGACACAAAGGGCCACAUCUCGUGUGCUUUCUUCCGUUUAUUAGACCCACAGUAAGUAAACCCAUAGGAACAGAAAGUGGAUUAGUGGUCGCCAGGGGCUGGGGUUGGGGGCGGGGUAGGAGGAAGAAUGGGGAGUGACUGAUGAAUGGGUCUGGGGUUUCUGCUCAGGGUGGUGGAAAUCUUUCGGAAAUGAUAGAGGUGAUGGUCGCACAACAUCGUGAGUGUACCAAAUGCCUCUGAAUCGUUCGCUUAAAAACGGUCAGAAUAGUUGCGUGUAUCUUACCACACACACAAACACACGCACACACACAAAAUAGGAUUACAAUCCUCCCUCCACCCUCCCUCCCUCCCUUCCUUCCUUCCUUCUUUCCUUCCUUCCGGUGAAGUACGGUUUGUGGGUGGGGGGCAAGGACAAGAAACCUGCUUGGAAGCAUCUGGAACGGAGUGGGAGGGCAAGCCAGGCCAGGAACUCCCCAGGAUCUGUGUCCCAGGCCAGGAAGGUGGCUGGGUUGAGGCUCCUGAAAGGCCGUCCCAAGACCUGUGGGCGCCAGGAGAAAGGCCAGGCAGGGCCAGCCUCCCAGAUGCUGGGGCGGAAGCCAGAACAAUGGCAUCCCCUGCGUUUGGACCCCUUCCAAAGAGGUUCACGUUUUCCACGGAGAGAGCACUCACGACAACUGGCAGGGAGAAGAGAAAGCCAGAGGCCGGGUUUCCCAGCUGUGAUGUGUGCUGUGCCGCCAGCCCACCGCCCGCUCCCCACAGACACCUGGCUCGUGGGUCCUGGCUGCGGGAAAGCCUCAGGAGCCCUGCUUUCAGGUUGGCCCGGUGGCGUUGGCCGUGUGGCUCGGAGGCUGGGAGAGAUGCCAUCCAGCGUGCUCCCCGAGAGGUCCACAGGGCGAGCCAAACACUGACCCAGCCAGACUGACGACGUGAGCACCCCUCACUUGUCUGGAACCACCUCGCUGGCAGCCUUGCGUGUCCAGAGAGCCCCUGGAACCAAUAAGUCAGCAGGGAUGGGCCGUGGCAGCCGGGGAUCCCGCCCCAAGUCCCAGCCUGCAAGCCUCGUCUCGCUCAGAGCCUCCUUACUCCUUGCCUGACACGCGGCACUGACAGGGCUGGUGUCCGGACCCCAGGGCUCAUAUGAGAGGAGCCUGGAAAGCAAUCACAGACACUCUCCUCCCCGGGCGGGGCCCCUCAGCCCUGCCCGUCUGCCCAGCGAUGUGUCACCUGGCGAGCGUUGUACAGAGAGAGUGUCGCAGGACCCAGGGCUCAUGCCAGGCUUCUCCCGCCAACUACAAGCCCUUUGGAAAGUCGUGUCACCUACGGGGGCUUUAUGCCCGCCAAGCCCUGCUUCCCCAUUUAACAGCUGGGAAAACUGAGGCUCCGUGUCACAACCCCGGCACAUCAGAAAGCGGGAAGCUGUGUCCGGUAGCUCUCCUCGUGGCAGGGAAGAGACUGUGCACAAGCACAAGUGUUAGCACGAACACACCCGACCUGAGCCAGACGGCCGAUCUUCGCAGCCCACGAGAGAACUGUGGCUCCUUCAUUUCACAGACAAGGAAUCUAAAACCCGGAAGAUGAAGCCGCUCGCCCUGAGUCCCGAGCCAGGGAGCCGGAGACAGUGUCGCCCUCGUGGCAAGCACCACAGGGCCACUGUGUGGUGAACAAGUCAUCCUGGCCGAAAUUGAGGUCCAGCCUUUGCCUUCGGCUUCGGGGAGAUCUGCAUCAUGUCCGAUAGACGUGUCUUUGUUUAGCGCGGGGACCAGUCAUAUCAGAAAGUCCAGCCACGUGAUUUAGGAUGGGGGCUUUGGACCACGCCGCAUCAGUCCACCUGGUAACCAUGUCGACAAUGGACCGACCAAUCGAUCAAGCCUACGUCGUGGAACCCAAAAAAACUCUGGGCACCGGGGCUGGGGUGGGUGCCCCUGCUUGGCAACGCUCUGUGCGUUUUGUCACACGUCAGUGCCGGAGGGCCACGCGUCCUGAGCGCAACAGAAACUUUCCCCGUGGACCACCCCCAUCCCCACCCCGGGCCGCCGUCUCCUGUGACGUAUCUGCUUUCGUGACUUCCGUGAGUUCUCCUAGCCAGUUUUGGAAUCUCUGCGUGGUUUGCGGAACUCUCCCACCUUGCAACUGGUGAGGUGAGGCGUGAGACCGUCUCAGGGCCGAUGCCGACUCCCCUUUCACACUUGGGUCUUGCUAAUCCCCACACGAGACAGAUGACCACCAUCCCCGCGUCAGGAGGAAAAAAGGCUCAGAGGGUUAGGUAUAGACGCAAGGUGUAAACCCCUGUCUCUCAAAAUUUCUGGUUUGAUUCUCUCUGCCGUGCAACCCCCAAAUAACGUAUUUUUAAAAGACCAA